GAUGAACGCUGGCGGCGUGCUUAACACAUGCAAGUCGAACGGGAAACAUUUUAUUGAAGCUUCGGCAGAUUUAGCUUGUUUCUAGUGGCGGACGGGUGAGUAACGCGUGGGUAACCUGCCUUAUACUGGGGGAUAACAGCCAGAAAUGACUGCUAAUACCGCAUAAGCGCACAGAACCGCAUGGUUCGGUGUGAAAAACUCCGGUGGUAUAAGAUGGACCCGCGUUGGAUUAGCUUGUUGGUGAGGUAACGGCUCACCAAGGCGACGAUCCAUAGCCGGCCUGAGAGGGUGAACGGCCACAUUGGGACUGAGACACGGCCCAGACUCCUACGGGAGGCAGCAGUGGGGAAUAUUGCACAAUGGGGGAAACCCUGAUGCAGCGACGCCGCGUGAAGGAAGAAGUAUCUCGGUAUGUAAACUUCUAUCAGCAGGGAAGAUAGUGACGGUAC
rnacentral:rRNA from 1 species